rnacentral:rRNA from 1 species
AUUGAACGCUGGCGGCAGGCCUAACACAUGCAAGUCGAGCGGAGCGGCGGACGGGUGAGUAAUGCCUAGGAAUCGGCCUGGGAGUGGGGGAUAACGUACGGAAACGGGCGCUAACACCGCAUAAUAUCAGAUGAGCCUAGGUCGGAUUAGCUGGUGGGUGGGGUAACGGCCUACCAAGGCGACGAUCCGUAACUGGUUUGAGAGGAUGAUCAGUCACACUGGAACUGAGACACGGUCCAGACUCCUCCGGUAGGCAGCAGUGAGGAAUAUUGGACAAUGGGCGAAAGCCUGAUUCAGCCAUGCCGCGUGUGUGAAGAAGGUCUUCGGAUUGUAAAGCACUUUAAGUUGGGAGGCGUUACCAACAGAAUAAGCACCGGCUAACUUCGUGCCAGCCGCCGCGGUAAUAC